rnacentral:rRNA from 1 species
ACUCCUACGGGAGGCAGCAGUGGGGAAUAUUGCACAAUGGGCGCAAGCCUGAUGCAGCCAUGCCGCGUGUAUGAAGAAGGCCUUCGGGUUGUAAAGUACUUUCAGCGGGGAGGAAGGUGUUGUGGUUAAUAACCGCAGUAAUUGACGUUACCCGCAGAAGAAGCACCGGCUAACUCCGUGCCAGCAGCCGCGGUAAU